CCUUCGAUAGCUCAGUUGGUAGAGCGGUGGACUGUAGAAGCAAAAGUUCGAUAUAGAGUAAUCCAUAGGUCACUGGUUCAAAUCCGGUUCGAAGGA
rnacentral:tRNA from 1 species